GUGCACAAAUGGCUAGUAGUUCGAAAUGUGAGGUGUUAUGCUGACAAAUCGUGGGAAUUGCGCUUUCUCUGCGAUCAGUUGCCACACUGAAAAUCGACUUUCUCGAGAAACAAUUGACUCUAGAAAAGCUUUUCGUGAUGCAACUAUCAUACAAUACGGCAGAGAUGAAGGAAUAUGAACAAUCCAGGACAUUUGUUGUUGUGAAUUCAGAUAAUAUGUAGUGAUUCUAGAUGAGUAACCUGGAUAACUUCCAUUGUUGCACCUGCCAGAAGACGAAUUACAUGUGUGGUUUAGGCAUAAGUCACCUAUGUUUUGAUUAAUUAACAUUUCUGGAUCUCGAUAAGGUACUUGCAUGCA